CCCAUGGCUCAGAUUGAACGCUGGCGGCAGGCCUAACACAUGCAAGUCGAGCGGAUGACAGGAGCUUGCUCCUGAAUUCAGCGGCGGACGGGUGAGUAAUGCCUAGGAAUCUGCCUGGUAGUGGGGGACAACGUUUCGAAAGGAACGCUAAUACCGCAUACGUCCUACGGGAGAAAGCAGGGGACCUUCGGGCCUUGCGCUAUCAGAUGAGCCUAGGUCGGAUUAGCUAGUUGGUGAGGUAAUGGCUCACCAAGGCGACGAUCCGUAACUGGUCUGAGAGGAUGAUCAGUCACACUGGAACUGAGACACGGUCCAGACUCCUACGGGAGGCAGCAGUGGGGAAUAUUGGACAAUGGGCGAAAGCCUGAUCCAGCCAUGCCGCGUGUGUGAAGAAGGUCUUCGGAUUGUAAAGCACUUUAAGUUGGGAGGAAGGGCAGUAACUUAAUACGUUGCUGUUCUUGACGUUACCGACAGAAUAAGCACCGGC
rnacentral:rRNA from 1 species